rnacentral:lncRNA from 1 species
GUGGUAUGGAAUGUAUGAUCUUUAUUAAUUUUUAAUCCAUCAAUCUAAAAUCACACAUACUAGAUCAAACAGAAGUACCACAGUAUGCUUUAUUUUGCAGGUAUUAAUUGGUUCUCUAAAUCGAUACAUCCAAAACUUUAGUUAGCAGCAAGCAUCAGUUCUUCCAAAGCAGCUUAGGUGAAAAACAAUUGUUUACAUUCACCAGUUCAAAGUCGUACUGUCUGAUCCACUGUUGUAUUGACAUAAAAUUGAACUCAGUAGGCAAAGCUAAUUGAACACUCAGCUCAUAGAUUUUGAGCUUCCUUUAUCUUAUUGGAGUUGAAGCAGUUUUUAACCCUCUGUUAAUAUUCUCUAUUUUAAUUCUCAAAGAAUUAAACACACAUAUUUUCUAAUUAAUUAAGAUAGAGCCAUGAUAACUAUUGAGGAAUUAGUGAUAUUAGUCUCAUACCCAAAAGGUAGAACACUUUUAAAUGAACCCAUAAUUUUGAAUGUAUCUGAAUUUCCAGUUUAUAUACUUAGCAAAUAGAGGAGAGUGUGAAUCUGUAUGUCAGAGCUAUAGAGUUCUAGAGGAGUUGUAGUUGAGCAAUCUAACUUUCUACUCCAGUUUUUGAGAUGUACAUGUUUUUGAGAUGUACAUAUAGAGAAGGCAGUAAAGAAAGAUCUUGAUAAAUUUUCUUUAACAAAAAUUUGUAAUUCCAGUUAUUGGCAAAGGGUUCUGGCAUGAGUUAAUGGCAGCAAUACAGUGGUGAGCUUCUGCAUUGUGCUGAGAGGUAGAUUGGGACUUAAUCCUUGGAAUGAAUAACCAACUCACUUUAUUUAAGGUUCAGGCUUAAUUUUUUUAAUCCAAAAAAAAUUUCUGAAGUGAAGGCAGAUCUUUGGGAACUUUUGUUUUUAGUUAAAUGUAGAGAUAAAAUAGCUUGAUAAAAUAAACAUCUGCCUUAUACUAAUGACAGGUGUACAAAGCAGCCAUUUGAACCCUAGACAACUUCAACACUGCUUCCAAAUAAAAGGGCAAUUCAACAGCUGAACCAAUCAAGCAGACACAGGGAUGAGUGGUCUCCAGUACCUUACUCCAGAAGCCGGAGCCAUUAGCAGUCCCUACAGGGAUAUAAGUCUAUAUCAAGUAGAGCAUAUUCACAUAGGGAAUGGGAGAGUGCAGGAGGCACACAAACAAAGUAUAUAGAGUUUUUGUUUUCAGUGCAGGAUAAAUGAACCUUCUUAACAAGUUAAGGCUCUGAGGGAAAAAAACUUUCUAAACCAUAACCUUAAUAAACCAUAACCCAUACAGGUGUUCCAAAUCAACACCUUUUUUAAAAAAAGCUGGAGGUCUUACUUCAUCCUUCAGUAUAAAUGUCAAGUCUGAGAUAAUCAGUAUAUUCCAAACUCUAGAACAACAACAACAAAAAAAGAAAUCUCCUUGUUAAAAUAUAGUAGCUA